rnacentral:rRNA from 1 species
UACGGAGGGGGCAAGCGUUAUUCGGAAUCAUUGGGCGUAAAGGGCGCGUAGGCGGCUUGGCAAGUCAAAGGUGAAAUCCCUCGGCCUAACCGAGGAACUGCCUUUGAAACUGCUUGCUUGAGGCCGGGAGAGGGUAGCGGAAUUCCCAGUGUAGCGGUGAAAUGCGCAGAUAUCAGGAGGAACACCAGCGGCGAAGGCGGCGCUCUGGGCCGGAACUGACGCUGAGGAGCGAAAGCGUGGGGAGCAAACAGG